GAUGAACGCUAGCUACAGGCUUAACACAUGCAAGUCGCGGGGCAGCAUGGGGGUUGCUUGCAAUCCCCGAUGGCGACCGGCGCACGGGUGAGUAACGCGUAUCCAACUUGCCCUUCACCACGGGAUAACCCGGCGAAAGUCGGACUAAUACCGUAUGUUGUCCAUUGACGGCAUCCGAUUUGGACGAAAGGUUUGGCGGUGAAGGAUGGGGAUGCGUCCGAUUAGCUGGACGGCGGGGUGACGGCCCACCGUGGCGACGAUCGGUAGGGGUUCUGAGAGGAAGGUCCCCCACACUGGAACUGAGACACGGUCCAGACUCCUACGGGAGGCGGCAGUGAGGAAUAUUGGUCAAUGGGCGUAAGCCUGAACCAGCCAAGUAGCGUGCAGGAUGACGGCCCUAUGGGCUGUAAACUGCUUUUAUGCGGGGAUAAAGUGGCCCACGUGUGGGUUUUUGCAGGUACCGCAUGAAUAAGGACCGGCUAAUUCCGUG
rnacentral:rRNA from 1 species